rnacentral:lncRNA from 1 species
AUCCCUAGCCUUAGACCCUACCCACUUGGUCUCUUGGACACACGCAAGGUUGAUCCUUCUCUUCCUAAGAAUCUUCACCAGCUCUAUGGACUUCCCCUGAAGGGUCCCUAUAUUCCAAGACCCAACCCUCAGCCUACCGUCGCUAUCCACGCGCCCCCCACUUCCCCCCCCUCGGCCAAACCUUGGCCUCCCACCCACUCCCGCUCUCUCCCCAUCCCCCGCCCCCGCCACAGCCCCACGCCCCAACCCCCUCGGACAUGACCCUAACCACCCAUUACCACCCACAGCCACAACUACACGAAAAAAAUAGGAAAGUAUAAGGAUAUAGCCGGUGGCAAUAUCCAAGCAGCAGCAAGGAGAUACAAGGCACACACACGUUGACAGGACUACUCCCGAAGCAAAACUAAGAAGCGACCACAGCAACAGCAACAACAGACAACAGACAAUGUUCACAAAUCCCACUCAAGUCAGGGUACACGGGCUACUACGAGCAUA